UGCAGUGCCCUCUGCAGUGACCUCCGUAUA
rnacentral:piRNA from 1 species